ACUCUGUACAGAUACUUCAUAUCCUCACGCCGAGAUCACCACCAUUGUUCAUGCAGAGACAAGGAAAUCACCCAUGAGAAGAGAUCAGGAAGCCGGAAGACCAAACUUGGAAAUUAGCAGAAGCCAAGAAGAAAGAUGCCCAGUGAUGAUGUUGUAACUGAAACAACGUUGGAUGAUUUGCUAUGCUGAAGGAACUGCCUCCUCGUUGCUUCACUAACACCUUGGAGAUUCAUAGUGUUUAAGUCACAAACUGGCCCCCUCGAUCUCCUCAGGCAGGAAAGGAUAAAAGGAUCUCUUGAAUUAUAACAACUGCAGUUAUUUUAUCAUCCAAGCUGGGAAGCUACCGAUAGAUGUAACGCCCCCACCAACCCUACACACAGUGAUGAAGAGUUCUUCUAGGCAUCUAAGAAAAAGAUGUACCCAAAGAGUGGAUCAGAGACUGUACAAACCUACUUCCAUCACCGACUUAUGUGCUUAUUCCCACAUUAGAUGAAUACACUUUAAAUACGUUGCAUAGGUAUCCAGUCUGGGGUGGGGGUGGGGCAGGCCUUUGGAAAAAUCAUAAGAUUAGAAGAAACUGCUGGAAAAAUCUAUAAGCUUCUUGUUUGUCAUUUAAAAACUGGAUACACGAGAAAUUAACGCUUCCAAACACCUUUAUCUAACAACAUAAAAAGUGAGUUUUGUUUCAAG
rnacentral:lncRNA from 1 species